AGUAACACGUAAACAACCUGCCUUCAGGAUGGGGACGAACAGACGGAAACGACUGCUAAUACCGAAUAAGUUCCAAGAGCCGCAUGGCCCAUGGAAGAAAAGGUGGCCUCUACCUGUAAGCUAUCGCCUGAAGAGGGGUUUGCGUCUGAUUAGCUGGUUGGAGGGGUAACGGCCCACCAAGGCGACGAUCAGUAGCCGGUCUGAGAGGAUGAACGGCCACACUGGAACUGAGACACGGUCCAGACUCCUACGGGAGGCAGCAUG
rnacentral:rRNA from 1 species